CACCCGGAGCUCUCCGACUUUGACGUCGGCA
rnacentral:sRNA from 1 species